rnacentral:ncRNA from 2 species
AACUAAACCCGACCGGCAGCGUUACCCCGGUUUAAGCGGAAUUUAAUUUAUCCAAGAUUUACCGGGGUUAAGCAAAGGGCGGGGCUAGCG